UGGGUGGCGGUUGAGACAGCGGCGGUACUGGGAGGCGUAGGUGAGGGUCGCGAGGCUGCCCGAGCUUCUGAGCGAGCGCGGUGCUUUUGGGAACGCGGGACGGGCGAUCUGCGGCGCCAGGAGCUGGGCCGAGGCGCGGCGGCGCGGCUGCCGGCUGCCCUGUGAAUGGGAAGUUACGCGAAGUCCACCCAGCGUUUCUGAGGCAAUCUGAAGGCAAAUCCUGUUUAGACCCAGGCGAAGGUUCCCGGUGACCCGGGCUCUCACCAGCCAAUUGUCCCUUGCCGUCCUCCUGAGGGUGCCUGGAGCUUAAGCACUGUGUGCUCUUGGCCUCCACACUGGGGAUGCCGCUGACUCCCACUGUCCAGGGCUUCCAGUGGAUUCUCCGAGGCCCUGAUGUAGAAACUUCCCCAUUGGGUGCACCAAGAGCAGCCUCACAUGGUGUGGGCUGACAUCAAGAGCUGCCAGAUCCAACAGGUAAAAAUCCCGAGGCAUUGCCAGCUCAGUGGGGUCAGAGAGUCCUCUUUGUAUUAUGACUCAGAUGUGAAGGGAAGAUGUCAAGGUCCCUAAACAUUG
rnacentral:lncRNA from 10 species